rnacentral:rRNA from 1 species
CCUACGGGAGGCAGCAGUAGGGAAUUUUCGGCAAUGGGGGGAACCCUGACCGAGCAACGCCGCGUGAACGAAGAAGUUAUUCGUAAUGUAAAGUUCUUUUAACAGGGAAGAAAGAGAAAUUUGACGGUACCUGAAGAAUAAGCUCCGGCUAACUACGUGCCAGCAGCCGCGGUAAUACGUAGGGAGCGAGCGUUAUCCGGAAUUAUUGGGCGAAAAGGGUGCGUAGAUGGCAUAGUAAGUCUUUUGUAAAAAUGCUGGGCGCAACCCAGUAGGGCAAAAGAUACUGGAAAGCUAGAGUAUGACAGAGGCAAGUGGAACUACAUGUGUAGCGGUAAAAUGCGUAAAUAUAUGUAAGAACACCAGUGGCGAAGGUGGCUUGCUGGGUCGAUACUGACAUUGAGGCACGAAAGCGUGGGGAGCAAACAGGAUUAGAUACCCCAGUAGUC